AAGCGUGCGCAGGCGGUUAUGUAAGACAGAUGUGAAAUCCCCGGGCUCAACCUGGGAACUGCAUUUGUGACUGCAUGGCUAGAGUACGGUAGAGGGGGAUGGAAUUCCGCGUGUAGCAGUGAAAUGCGUAGAUAUGCGGAGGAACACCGAUGGCGAAGGCAAUCCCCUGGACCUGUACUGACGCUCAUGCACGAAAGCGUGGGGAGCAAACAGGAUUAGAUACCCGUAGU
rnacentral:rRNA from 1 species